AUUGAACGCUGGCGGCAGGCCUAACACAUGCAAGUCGAACGAGUGGCGGACGGGUGAGUAAUGUCUGGGAAACUGCCCGCUGGAGGGGGAUAACUACUGGAAUCGGUAGCUAAUACCGCAUACCAUCGGAUGUGCCCAGAUGGGAUGGGCUAGUAGGUGGGGUAACGACUCACCUAGGCGACGGUCCCUAGCUGGUCUGAGAGGAUGACCAGCCACACUGGAACUGAGACACGGUCCAGACUCCCACGUGAGGCAGCAGUGGGGAAUAUUGCACAAUGGGCGCAAGCCUGAUGCAGCUAUGCCGCGUGGAUGAAGAAGGCCUUCGGGUUGUAAAGUACUUUCAGCGAGGAGGAGUUACUCGCAGAAGAAGCACCGGCUAACUCCGUGCCAGCCGCCGCGGUAAUUC
rnacentral:rRNA from 1 species